GGGGAGUUACUCAAGUGGCUGAAGAGGACGGUUUGCUAAAUCGUUAGAUCGGGAAACCGGUGCGAGAGUUCGAAUCUCUUACUCCCCU
rnacentral:tRNA from 1 species